rnacentral:misc_RNA from 3 species
AACGCACAUUGCGCCCCUUGGUAUUCCGGGGGGCAUGCCUGUUCGAGCGUCAUUUCAACCCUCAAGCUCUGCUUGGUCUUGGGCCGCGCCGGCAACGGCGGGCCUCAAAAACAGUGGCGGCGCCAUCGUGUCCCUCAGCGUAGUAAUUCUUCUCGCUGUUGGGCCCCGGUGGCCGCUGGCCAGCAACCCCCAAUUUUUCUAUGGUUGACCUCGGAUCAGGUAGGGAUACCCGCUGAACUUAA